GCUUACUUAACUUUUCACUACAUAUUAUCAUCAAAUCUUUCGACGAAAUAUCAUUUCGACAUACCGAACUCUUGGAACGGCCUAGGUUAUUCAAACCCUAACCCUUAGGGUUUCGUCGGGUGAAUAGUGCCUAUUUCAUCUUUUUCCCCAAAAAUAUUUUGUUCCCAGAAAAAUCUUAUUUUUGUCUUGAAAAUUCUUAUUCGUUCAAUCUAGUUCGUAGCCAGAAUCCUCCCAAUGUAUAAUUAUCCUAGGUUAUAGAAUGAUUAAC
rnacentral:lncRNA from 1 species